rnacentral:misc_RNA from 1 species
GAUGAAGAACGUAGCGAAAUGCGAUACGUAAUGUGAAUUGCAGAAUUCAGUGAAUCAUCGAAUCUUUGAACGCAUAUUGCGCUCUCUGGUAUUCCGGAGAGCAUGCUUGUUUGAGUAUCAGUAAACACCUCAACUUCCAUAUCUUUUUUGAAAUGGGAGUUGGACUUGAGUGAUCCCAACGCUUUUCCUCACCGAAAAGUGGCGGGUUACUUGAAAUGCAGGUGCAGCUGGACUUUUCUCUGAGCUAUAAGCAUAUCUAUUUAGUCUGCCUAAAAAACAGAUUAUUACCUUUGCUGCAGCUAACAUAAAGGAGAUUAGUUCUUGUGCUGACUGAUGCAGGAUUAACAAAGACAGGCUUCGGCCGACUUUGUAAACUCGAUCUCAAAUCAAGUAAGACUACCCGCUGAACUUAAGCAUAUCAAUAAGCGGAGGA